rnacentral:rRNA from 1 species
AUCUUAGCGGCGGACGGGUGAGUAACACGUGGGCAACCUGCCCUGCAGACUGGGAUAACUCCGGGAAACCGGAGCUAAUACCGGGUAAUACAUCGCACCGCAUGGUGCAAUGUUGAAAGUUGGCUUUCUGAGCUAACACUGCAGGAUGGGCCCGCGGCGCAUUAGCUAGUUGGUAAGGUAAUGGCUUACCAAGGCAACGAUGCGUAGCCGACCUGAGAGGGUGAUCGGCCACACUGGGACUGAGACACGGCUCAGACUCCUACGGGAGGCAGCAGUAGGGAAUCUUCCGCAAUGGACGAAAGUCUGACGGAGCAACGCCGCGUGAGUGACGAAGGCCUUCGGGUCGUAAAGCUCUGUUGUUAGGGAAGAACAAGUACCGUUCGAAUAGGGCGGUACCUUGACGGUACCUAACCAGAAAGCCACGGCUAACUACGUGCCAGCAGCCGCGGUAAUACGUAGGUGGCAAGCGUUGUCCGGAAUUAUUGGGCGUAAAGCGCGCGCAGGCGGUCUUUUAAGUCUGAUGUGAAAGCCCACGGCUCAACCGUGGAGGGUCAUUGGAAACUGGAGGACUUGAGUGCAGAAGAGGAGAGUGGAAUUCCACGUGUAGCGGUGAAAUGCGUAGAUAUGUGGAGGAACACCAGUGGCGAAGGCGGCUCUCUGGUCUGUAACUGACGCUGAGGCGCGAAAGCGUGGGGAGCAAACAGGAUUAGAUACCCUGGUAGUCCACGCCGUAAACGAUGAGUGCUAGGUGUUGGGGGGUUCCACCCUCAGUGCUGAAGUUAACACAUUAAGCACUCCGCCUGGGGAGUACGACCGCAAGGUUGAAACUCAAAGGAAUUGACGGGGGG